GUCCACGCCGUAACGAUGUCUACUAGCUGUUCGUGACCUUGUGUCGUGAGUAGCGCAGCUAACGCAUUAAGUAGACCGCCUGGGGAGUACGGUCGCAAGAUUAAACUCAAAUGAAUUGACGGGGCCCGCACAAGCGGUGGAGCAUGUGGUUUAAUUCGACGCAACGCGAAGAACCUUACCUACUCUUGACAUCUACAGAAGACUGCAGAGAUGCGGUUGUGCCUUCGGGAACUGUAAGACAGGUGCUGCAUGGCUGUCGU
rnacentral:rRNA from 1 species